rnacentral:rRNA from 1 species
AGCGAACGCUGGCGGCAGGCUUAACACAUGCAAGUCGAGCGGGCACUUUCGGGUGUCAGCGGCGGACGGGCGAGUAACGCGUGGGAACGUGCCCUCUGGUUCGGAAUAACUCAGGGAAACUUGAGCUAAUACCGGAUACGCCCUUUUGGGGAAAGGCUUGCUGCCGGAGGAUCGGCCCGCGUCUGAUUAGCUAGUUGGUGAGGUAACGGCUCACCAAGGCGACGAUCAGUAGCUGGUCUGAGAGGAUGAUCAGCCACACUGGGACUGAGACACGGCCCAGACUCCUACGGGAGGCAGCAGUGGGGAAUAUUGGACAAUGGGCGCAAGCCUGAUCCAGCCAUGCCGCGUGAGUGAUGAAGGCCUUAGGGUUGUAAAGCUCUUUUAUCCGGGACGAUAAUGACGGUACCGGAGGAAUAAGCCCCGGCUAACUUCGUG